CAGUAGCCGGCGGGAAUACGUAGGUCCCGAGCGUUGUCCGGAUUUAUUGGGCGUAAAGCGAGCGCAGGCGGUUAGAUAAGUCUGAAGUUAAAGGCUGUGGCUUAACCAUAGUACGCUUUGGAAACUGUUUAACUUGAGUGCAGAAGGGGAGAGUGGAAUUCCAUGUGUAGCGGUGAAAUGCGUAGAUAUAUGGAGGAACACCGGUGGCGAAAGCGGCUCUCUGGUCUGUAACUGACGCUGAGGCUCGAAAGCGUGGGGAGCAAACAGGAUUAGAUACCCCAGUAGUCCCUGUCUCUUAUAC
rnacentral:rRNA from 1 species